AAAAAGAGGCCAGUGAUGAACAAGAACUUCUAGAGGAGCUGGAGGUGAGGAUUAUGAAGGAUUUUGGCCAGGCAUUCUUAAAGUUUCCUUGCUGAGCUCUCACUCCAAAGCCAAGUCUUCUGCUGUUCGGUGUCUGCAGCUUUGUUUCUGGGUCCAGGCAGUGGGAUGGAGAAAGGAUGGGGGUGUUCCAACAGCCAGCAUGGAAGGAAAGCUGCUUGUUGAUCAAAGCAGGAAUUCCUGGGUUAAAAGCUGAUAAAUGCUGGAAGGAGGCACUUUCUGAGCACAUGGAAGGCUGUGGCAGGUACUUGUCCUGGUGAAGCUCUGCACUGGUAAGCAAGAAAUAAGGGUUAUAGCAGUGGAAUCCAGCAGGCUGCAGGGCUGGGGCUGUACUAUCAGAGCUGCAGAGGAGAGGAAAGCAGCUCUCCCAACAAGAGGUGUGGGGGCUGAGUUGACUGUGCCCAUCCUCUCACCAUAACCACCCUCCAAUAGUUGGGAUUGCUCAAGUAAGGGCUGAGCAGCUGUGAGCUCAUUCCCUUAUUCUAUGUGGGGGCAAAAAAUAUGGUCUUUAUUUCAAAGUUUUAUGUUACCUGCACUCAUCUUUAUUAGGAUACACAACGUGGGCAUCUGAGUAAGUACUGCUGAUCACAAGUUCACCAAUUAAGCCAAAGUAGCUUCACAACCUGACUUCAGAGCACUGGGGCUGGUGCAUUUGGAUGCUCAGCCCCAAGGAGAAAGCAGAGCUUUGCCCAUCCUUUAGUGCCCAGGGCUCUGUGCUGUGGUCCUCUUG